rnacentral:rRNA from 1 species
AGAGAAUAGAUACCCGGGUAGUCCACGCCCUAAACGAUGGAUACUAGGCGUAAGAGGUAUCGACCCCUCUUGUGCCGCAGCUAAACGCACUAAGUAUCCCGCCUGGGGAGUACGGCCGCAAGGUUGAAACUCAAAUGAAUUGACGGGGACCCGCACAAGCGGUGGAGCAUGUGGAUUAAUUCGAUACUAACCGAAGAACCUUACCCAGACUUGACAUCGAUCGCAAGCUCUAGAAGUAGGGCCCUCCCCACAAGGGACGUGAAGACACUUGUUGCAUGGCUGUCGUCAGCUCGUGCCGUGAGGUGUACGGUUAAGUCCGCCAACGAGCGCAACCCUCGUCCUGUGUUACCAGCAUGAAAGAUGGGAACUCACAGGAGACCGCCGGUGUAAGCCGGAGGAAGUGGGAUGACGUCAAGUCAGCAUGGCAGUUACGUCUGGGGCUUCACACAUGCUACAAUGGGCG